AAUCCAUGGUGAGGGUAGUCACGUGUAUACUCUUUAAAACGCUUCCAGGCUUCAUAGAAAGGUUCGGCCGGUCCUUGCUGGAAACUUGAGAUCUUGGUAUAGAGU
rnacentral:snoRNA from 1 species